rnacentral:rRNA from 1 species
CAGCAGCCGCGGUAAUACGUAGGGUGCGAGCGUUAAUCGGAUUUACUGGGCGUAAAGCGUGCGCAGGCGGCCCGUUAAGACAGGUGUGAAAUCCCUGGGCUCAACCUAGGAAUUGCGCUUGUGACUGGCGGGCUCGAGUACGGUAGAGGGGGGUGGAAUUCCUGGUGUAGCAGUGAAAUGCGUAGAGAUCAGGAGGAACACCGAUGGCGAAGGCAGCCCCCUGGGCCUGUACUGACGCUCAUGCACGAAAGCGUGGGGAGCAAACAGGAUUAGAUACCCGGGUAGUCCACGCCCUAAACGAUGGGUACUAGCCGUUUGGUGCGCGAUAGCGCUGAGUGGCGAAGCUAACGCGUGAAGUACCCCGCCUGGGGAGUACGGCCGCAAGGUUGAAACUUAAAGGAAUUGGCGGG